GCACAGGAUUCCUAAAAUUAAAUUGGGCGCUUUAUAUGGAAACGAUAAAGUGGAUCUGCUCAAAUUCGGGGAACGUUUCGGCAGUCUUUUGCCAUACCAAUCCCGAGCCAAGCCUUGUAUAUAACAGGGAAGGUGUAGAGACUGAACGGGCAGUGCCUAAGGGAGUUAUUUCCUAUGGUAAAGAGACAGUCCAGCUUACAAACAUUGUGC
rnacentral:ncRNA from 1 species